ACCAGUAGAUGGAGCUGUUGUAGAUACAAUGCCAUAAUGUGUUGACAAUUAAUACAUGGAAGAAAAAAAAACACAAAAAUCUUACAGAAUUAAUUUACAAGUUAUAACCAUUCAAGUGAUGUAGGUUUGGCAGAUCGAAUGAGUUUAAAUAAUCUCGAAAAUGUAAUAAAGCAAAGAAUCGCAAUAAUUCAAGAACCUCAAGUGUUUUUGUUUUAGAGCUUGACAACAAAGGUCUGUGAAGAUUCUUCACACUUUCCACAGACUAAAUAACGGCAAACAAGUUUGGAAUGACAUGAGGGUCAGGCACAGGUUUCUCAUGACCUGGAACUGGAUCAGUCUCACCUUUGGCUAUGAUCCCACCAUGACCUCUUGUAGAAACACCUCCAUGUUAAGUGACUGCCCACAGGAAGUGAGUCCUUUGGGGAGGAAAUGGCUCCCAGAUGUGUGGAGGUUACCCAGAACUCUGGUGAGAGAGGUGAGCAAAGGUCAGUCUUGAGGGAAGACGAGAAGAAGGACAACAGAGUGUCACAACCUUCAUUUUGGGAUUGCGUAAGAAAAACACAUUUGUAACUUCGACUGAAAACAUGAUGCUCCAAUUCAUCUGCUUAUACUCCGUUAUGAAAACAAAAAUCAGAUGCAUUUUAUUGCA